rnacentral:tRNA from 1 species
UUCCCUAGCAGUCCAGUGGUUAAGACUCUGUACUUCCACUGCAGGGGACCUGGGUUCCAUCCCUGGUUGGGAAA